rnacentral:rRNA from 1 species
GGUUAAGCGAAUAAGCGUACACGGUGGAUGCCUAGGCAAUCAGAGGCGAUGAAGGACGUGCUAAUCUGCGAAAAGCGUCGGUAAGGUGAUAUGAACCGUUAUACCCGACGAUAUCCGAAUGGGGAAACCCAGUAUCCAAUGGAUACUAUCAUUAACUGAAUCCAUAGGUUAAUGAGGCGAACCGGGAGAACUGAAACAUCUCAGUACCCCGAGGAAAAGAAAUCAACCGAGAUUCCCCUAGUAGCGGCGAGCGAACGGGGAGCAGCCCAGAGUCUUAAUCAAUAGCAGUGUCAGGAGAACGGUCUGGAAAGUCCGGCAGUAAAGGGUGAUAGCCCCGUAUCUGAAGAUGCUGUUAUUGUGAACUCGACGAGUAGGGCGGGACACGUGUUAUCCUGUCUGAAUAUGGGGGGACCAUCCUCCAAGGCUAAAUACUCCUGAUUGACCGAUAGUGAACCAGUACCGUGAGGGAAAGGCGAAAAGAACCCCGGCGAGGGGAGUGAAAAAGAACCUGAAACCGUGUACGUACAAGCAGUAGGAGCCUCUUUAUGGGGUGACUGCGUACCUUUUGUAUAAUGGGUCAGCGACUUAUAUUCUGUAGCAAGGUUAACCGUAUAGGGGAGCCGUAGGGAAACCGAGUCUUAACUGGGCGAAUGAGUUGCAGGGUAUAGACCCGAAACCCGGUGAUCUAUCCAUGGGCAGGUUGAAGGUUGGGUAACACUAACUGGAGGACCGAACCGACUAAUGUUGAAAAAUUAGCGGAUGACUUGUGGAUGGGGGUGAAAGGCCAAUCAAACCGGGAGAUAGCUGGUUCUCCCCGAAAGCUAUUUAGGUAGCGCCUCGUGAAUUCAUCUUCGGGGGUAGAGCACUGUUUCGACUAGGGGGUCAUCCCGACUUACCAACUCGAUGCAAACUGCGAAUACCGAAGAAUGUUAUCACGGGAGACACACGGCGGGUGCUAACGUCCGUCGUGAAGAGGGAAACAACCCAGACCGCCAGCUAAGGUCCCAAAGUCAUGGUUAAGUGGGAAACGAAGUGGGAAGGCUCAGACAGCCAGGAUGUUGGCUUAGAAGCAGCCAUCAUUUAAAGAAAGCGUAAUAGCUCACUGGUCGAGUCGGCCCGCGCGGAAGAUGUAACGGGGCUAAACCAUGCACCGAAGCUGCGGCAGCGACACAAAGUGUUGUUGGGUAGGGGAGCGUUCUGUAAGCCUGCGAAGGUGUACUGUGAGGUAUGCUGGAGGUAUCAGAAGUGCGAAUGCUGACAUAAGUAACGAUAAUGCGGGUGAAAAACCCGCACGCCGGAAGACCAAGGGUUCCUGUCCAACGUUAAUCGGGGCAGGGUGAGUCGACCCCUAAGGCGAGGCUGAAAAGCGUAGUCGAUGGGAAACGGGUUAAUAUUCCCGUACUGGUGGUAACUGCGAUGGGGGAACGGAGAAGGCUAGGUUGUCCGGGCGACGGUCGUCCCGGUUCAAGCAGGUAGGCAGAGUGAUUAGGCAAAUCCGGUCACUUAAUGCUGAGAUGUGAUGACGAACCACCAAGGUGGUGAAGCAAUUGAUGCCCCGCUUCCAGGAAAAGCCUCUAAGCUUCAGGUUACCAACAAUCGUACCCCAAACCGACACAGGUGGUCAGGUAGAGAAUACUCAGGCGCUUGAGAGAACUCGGGUGAAGGAACUAGGCAAAAUGGUGCCGUAACUUCGGGAGAAGGCACGCUGGCGGUAGGUAAAGUCCCUCGCGGACAGAGCUGAAGCCAGUCGAAGAUACCAGCUGGCUGCAACUGUUUAUUAAAAACACAGCACUGUGCAAACACGAAAGUGGACGUAUACGGUGUGACGCCUGCCCGGUGCUGGAAGGUUAAUUGAUGGGGUCAGCCGUAAGGCGAAGCUCCUGAUCGAAGCCCCAGUAAACGGCGGCCGUAACUAUAACGGUCCUAAGGUAGCGAAAUUCCUUGUCGGGUAAGUUCCGACCUGCACGAAUGGCGUAAUGAUGGCCAGGCUGUCUCCACCCGAGACUCAGUGAAAUUGAACUCGCUGUGAAGAUGCAGUGUACCCGCGGCAAGACGGAAAGACCCCGUGAACCUUUACUAUAGCUUGACACUGAACAUUGAGCCUUGAUGUGUAGGAUAGGUGGGAGGCUUUGAAGUGUGGACGCCAGUCUGCAUGGAGCCAACCUUGAAAUACCACCCUUUAACGUUUGAUGUUCUAACCUAGGCCCAUAAACUGGGUCGGGGACCGUGUCUGGUGGGUAGUUUGACUGGGGCGGUCUCCUCCUAAAGAGUAACGGAGGAGCACGAAGGUUGGCUAAGCAUGGUCGGACAUCAUGCGGUUAGUGCAAAGGCAUAAGCCAGCUUGACUGCGAGAGUGACGGCUCGAGCAGGUACGAAAGUAGGUCUUAGUGAUCCGGUGGUUCUGAAUGGAAGGGCCAUCGCUCAACGGAUAAAAGGUACUCCGGGGAUAACAGGCUGAUACCGCCCAAGAGUUCAUAUCGACGGCGGUGUUUGGCACCUCGAUGUCGGCUCAUCACAUCCUGGGGCUGAAGUAGGUCCCAAGGGUAUGGCUGUUCGCCAUUUAAAGUGGUACGCGAGCUGGGUUUAGAACGUCGUGAGACAGUUCGGUCCCUAUCUGCCGUGGGCGUUGGAAGAUUGAGAGGGGUUGCUCCUAGUACGAGAGGACCGGAGUGAACGCACCACUGGUGUUCGGGUUGUCAUGCCAAUGGCAUUGCCCGGUAGCUAAGUGCGGAAGAGAUAACCGCUGAAAGCAUCUAAGCGGGAAACUUGCCUCGAGAUGAGUCUUCCCUGUCGCUUUAAGCGACCUAAAGGAACGUUUAAGACUAAGACGUUGAUAGGCUGGGUGUGUAAGCGUAGCGAUACGUUGAGCUAACCAGUACUAAUGAACCGUGAGGCUUAACCUG